rnacentral:rRNA from 1 species
GAUGACGCUGGCGGCGUGCCUAAUACAUGCAAGUCGAACGCACAGCGAAAGGUGCUUGCACCUUUCAAGUGAGUGGCGAACGGGUGAGUAACACGUGGACAACCUGCCUCAAGGCUGGGGAUAACAUUUGGAAACAGAUGCUAAUACCGAAUAAAACUUAGUGUCGCAUGACAUAAAGUUAAAAGGCGCUUCGGCGUCACCUAGAGAUGGAUCCGCGGUGCAUUAGUUAGUUGGUGGGGUAAAGGCCUACCAAGACAAUGAUGCAUAGCCGAGUUGAGAGACUGAUCGGCCACAUUGGGACUGAGACACGGCCCAAACUCCUACGGGAGGCUGCAGUAGGGAAUCUUCCACAAUGGGCGAAAGCCUGAUGGAGCAACGCCGCGUGUGUGAUGAAGGCUUUCGGGUCGUAAAGCACUGUUGUAUGGGAAGAACAGCUAGAAUAGGAAAUGAUUUUAGUUUGACGGUACCAUACCAGAAAGGGACGGCUAAAUACGUGCCAGCAGCCGCGGUAAUACGUAUGUCCCGAGCGUUAUCCGGGAUUUAUUGGGCGUAAAGCGAGCGCAGACGGUUUAUUAAGUCUGAUGUGAAAGCCCGGAGCUCAACUCCGGAAUGGCAUUGGAAACUGGUUAACUUGAGUGCAGUAGAGGUAAGUGGAACUCCAUGUGUAGCGGUGGAAUGCGUAGAUAUAUGGAAGAACACCAGUGGCGAAGGCGGCUUACUGGACUGCAACUGACGUUGAGGCUCGAAAGUGUGGGUAGCAAACAGGAUUAGAUACCCUGGUAGUCCACACCGUAAACGAUGAACACUAGGUGUUAGGAGGUUUCCGCCUCUUAGUGCCGAAGCUAACGCAUUAAGUGUUCCGCCUGGGGAGUACGACCGCAAGGUUGAAACUCAAAGGAAUUGACGGGGACCCGCACAAGCGGUGGAGCAUGUGGUUUAAUUCGAAGCAACGCGAAGAACCUUACCAGGUCUUGACAUCCUUUGAAGCUUUUAGAGAUAGAAGUGUUCUCUUCGGAGACAAAGUGACAGGUGGUGCAUGGUCGUCGUCAGCUCGUGUCGUGAGAUGUUGGGUUAAGUCCCGCAACGAGCGCAACCCUUAUUGUUAGUUGCCAGCAUUCAGAUGGGCACUCUAGCGAGACUGCCGGUGACAAACCGGAGGAAGGCGGGGACGACGUCAGAUCAUCAUGCCCCUUAUGACCUGGGCUACACACGUGCUACAAUGGCGUAUACAACGAGUUGCCAACCCGCGAGGGUGAGCUAAUCUCUUAAAGUACGUCUCAGUUCGGAUUGUAGUCUGCAACUCGACUACAUGAAGUCGGAAUCGCUAGUAAUCGCGGAUCAGCACGCCGCGGUGAAUACGUUCCCGGGUCUUGUACACACCGCCCGUCACACCAUGGGAGUUUGUAAUGCCCAAAGCCGGUGGCCUAACCUUUUAGGAAGGAGCCGUCUAAGGCAGGACAGAUGACUGGGG